rnacentral:rRNA from 1 species
UCUGGUUGAUCCUGCCGGCGGCCACUGCUAUCAGGUUCCGACUAAGCCAUGCAAGUUAAGGGGUCGUAAGACACCANCGAACCGCUCAGUAACACGCGGAUAAUCUAACCCCAAGCGGGGUAUAGCCUCGGGAAACUGAGGGUAAUUCUCCAUAGCCAUUAUAUGCUGGAAUGCUUUGAUGGUGAAAGCUUCGGCGCUUGAACAUUAGUCCAGGCCCUACGGGGCGCAGCAGGCGCGAAAACUGUGCAAUGCGCGAAAGCGCGACACGGGGAACCUGAGUGCCUUGACACAGUCAAGGCUUUUAUCAAGCCUAAAAAGCUUGAUGAAUAAGAGCUGGGUAAGACGGGUGCCAGCCGCCGCGGUAACACCCGCAGCUCUAGUGGUGGCCACUUUUAUUGAGCCUAAAGCGUGCGUAGNCGGUUCUGUAAAUCUUCAGAUAAAUNCAUUCGCUCAACGGAUGAUCUUCUGAAGAGACUGUAGAACUUGGGACCGGGUGAGGUUGAAUGUACUUCCGGGGUAGGGGUAAAAUCCUGUAAUCCUGGAAGGACAACCGGUGGCGAAGGCGUUCAACUAGAACGGAUCCGACGGUGAGGAACGAGGGCUAGGGGAGCAAACCGGAUUAGAUACCCGGGUAGUCCUAGCUGUAAACACUGCCCACUUGGUGUUGCCUCUCUGUUGAAGGGGGGCAGUGCCGGAGCGAAGGUGUUAAGUGGGCCGCUUGGGGAGUAUGGUCGCAAGGCUGAAACUUAAAGGAAUUGGCGGGGGAGCACCGCAACGGGAGGAGCGUGCGGUUUAACUGGAUUCAACGCCGGAAAACUCACCGGGAGCGACCUUUGGAUGAGAGUCAACUUGAUGAGUUUACUCGAUAGAAGGAGAGGUGGUGCAUGGCCGUCGUCAGCUCGUACCGUAGGGCGUUCACUUAAGUGUGAUAACGAGCGAGACCCCCAUCUCUAAUUGCCAGUAUGUCUUUGCGGACAUGCGCACUUUAGAGGGACCGCCAGCGCUAAGCUGGAGGAAGGAGGGGUCGACGGCAGGUCAGUACGCCCCGAAUCUCCCGGGCUACACGCGCGCUACAAAGGACAGGACAAUGAGUUGCAACCUCGAAAGGGGGAGCUAACCUCGAAACCUGUUCAUAGUUAGGAUUGAGGGCUGUAACUCGCCCUCAUGAAUGUGGAUUCCGUAGUAAUCGCGGGUCAACAGCCCGCGGUGAAUAUGCCCCUGCUCCUUGCACACACCGCCCGUCAAACCAUCCGAGCUGGUGUUGGAUGAGGGUAUGCCCGAGAGGACAAACUCGAAUCUGAUGUCAGUGAGGAGGGUUAAGUCGUAACAAGGUAAC